rnacentral:rRNA from 1 species
AUGAACGCUGGCUACAGGCUUAACACAUGCAAGUCGAGGGGAAACGACGGGGAAGCUUGCUUCCCCGGGCGUCGACCGGCGCACGGGUGAGUAACGCGUAUCCAACCUGCCUCUGACUGAGGGAUAACCCGUCGAAAGUCGGCCUAAUACCUCAUGGCAUCGUCUGCGGGCAUCCAACGACGAUUAAAGAUUUCAUCGGUCAGAGAUGGGGAUGCGUCUGAUUAGCUUGUUGGCGGGGUAACGGCCCACCAAGGCGACGAUCAGUAGGGGUUCUGAGAGGAAGGUCCCCCACAUUGGAACUGAGACACGGUCCAAACUCCUACGGGAGGCAGCAGUGAGGAAUAUUGGUCAAUGGGCGAGAGCCUGAACCAGCCAAGUAGCGUGCAGGAUGACGGCCCUAUGGGUUGUAAACUGCUUUUAUGCGGGGAUAAAGUGAGGGACGUGUCCUUCAUUGCAGGUACCGCAUGAAUAAGGACCGGCUAAGUCCGUG